ACUUGAAUAUUAGUAGUUAUGGUCUUUAAAUUCAAAGAAUUUGGCGGUAUUUUAGUCUUGUUAGAGGAACCUGUUCUGUAAAUGAUACAACACGAAGAAUCUUACUUACUCUUGUUUAACAGUUUGUAUACCGUCAUUAUUAGAUAACCUUUGUUGGGGAAGUUAUUGAAAUUUAAGAAGUUGGAGUAUAUUAGAUCAAGGUGCAGUUUAUGGGUAAGAAGUAAUGGGUUACAAUAAAAUUUAUUUAUACGGAUCAGCGAUUGAAUAGUUUCUGUAAAGGAGGAUUUAAUUGUAACAUAUAAUUUAAUAAGUUAGUGUGAUAUGAGAACUAAAAUAUGUACAUAU
rnacentral:rRNA from 1 species